UGCCUUUCUUCCAACAUUGUUUCUCCACUAAUCAAAACAUGACAGGUUCCCAGGGCUUUAAAGGUUUACAUUCUUGGAUGUAUCCUCAAUCUGUUCUACCACCGUCUCUCAUAUCAGCCUUGAGCUCACCAACUGCAGAUGGAGAACUGGACUUCUUAAGUAAACGGCAAUCAGCUUGGGAAGAGUCCUUCCGAGAUCU